rnacentral:tRNA from 1 species
GCAGGGGUGGCAGAGUGGUCUAAUGCGGCAGCCUGCUAAGCUGUUAUCCGAAAGGAUGCGCGAGUUCAAAUCUCGCCUCCUGCG